rnacentral:rRNA from 1 species
GAUGAACGCUGGCGGCGUGCCUAAUACAUGCAAGUCGAGCGAACAGAUAAGGAGCUUGCUCCUUUGACGUUAGCGGCGGACGGGUGAGUAACACGUGGGUAACCUACCUAUAAGACUGGGAUAACUUCGGGAAACCGGAGCUAAUACCGGAUAAUAUUUCGAACCGCAUGGUUCGAUAGUGAAAGAUGGUUUUGCUAUCACUUAUAGAUGGACCCGCGCCGUAUUAGCUAGUUGGUAAGGUAACGGCUUACCAAGGCGACGAUACGUAGCCGACCUGAGAGGGUGAUCGGCCACACUGGAACUGAGACACGGUCCAGACUCCUACGGGAGGCAGCAGUAGGGAAUCUUCCGCAAUGGGCGAAAGCCUGACGGAGCAACGCCGCGUGAGUGAUGAAGGUCUUCGGAUCGUAAAACUCUGUUAUUAGGUAAGAACAUACGUGUAAGUAACUGUGCACGUCUUGACGGUACCUAAUCAGAAAGCCACGGCUAACUACGUG